CUGCUGGGGCUAUUUGGCUACUAGACGAGGAAAGAAAGGACAAGUAUUGGCUUGUAAUCUCUGCCCAUUCCCCGGCAGGACCUGCCCCCUGAAUACUCCUUCGGAGCUAAAGGUGUAGGUCACUGCGGAGGAAAGGGACAGAUGCAACUCACAGUAUCUCCUUCAGGCUGCCCCAGGCACGUAACAGAGGUGCAGGUUACAAGAGGUAAUAUGUGCUUCAAGACAGGUUUAUCUUUGAUGGCCCAAGUCAGCUAGAGAUAGACACCACAAAUAUCUUUCCCUUCUGACACAAGGGGGUCAUGUUAAUUGCUCAGCUGGGCAGGGAGAUCAGGCAGAGAGAGGUCAAAUGCCUCACCUUGCAAAUGCUUGCACGAAUGCUUAAUGUCUCUUCUCUGAGCAAACUCACUGCUUCAAUACAACUGUAAAAGUUCCAUAAGAAAAAGGGCAGAUCUCCAAUCUGCUGUUUGUUUCACAGAAUUUGGGGAUACAGGGAUGCCAGUUGCCUACCUGAGCCAUUUCUAGUCUGCACCACCCUUUAGCACCAGACUAAACAUUAAGACUAUCACUACCACAUCAUUUUCAGUUAUUCAGCAUCCUACCAGAGCUAAGGCCAACCACUCCAGUUAUUUCAGGCCCGGGACGCAGCAAUUAACACUGUCUAAUCCAAUAAUCCACCAGAUUCAUUGCUACAAAAGGGAAGAGGUUAAAGAAGAUAAACAAAUCUUACCCUUCACAGUGAAGAUCAAUGUUCCCACUAUCACCAACGACUGAAUUCUAAAGGCAAGACACACUUAGAAUAUAAACGUACACCUCCUGCUCUUCCCUCAGGACAAGAAAUUCAGGCCAGCAACCUACAAGGACUCUCCAUGCAUAGGGAACACCUACAGGGGCUUUGUGUGCCCUCCCCAACAUCAGGGGGGCCUCAGGCUUUGCUAGGAAGGCAUCUCCCUAGUUAUCUUCAGCUGCGUGGUCUAUGAAGUGCUUCAGAACUGCAGCGGUUUUGCUUGUUUGAAGAUGCGGAUACCUUGAGUACGUGCGUAUGCGGGUGUACAUCUCCUUUGCCCACACUCUGCAUUGGUGUGAACUUAAAAGUGGAUCAGCCUGUAAUUUCUUUUUCCUUAAAUAAAGCACACCAAAAGC
ensembl:lncRNA